UGCUUACAUCGAGACCAUACUAUACAGAAUCAUUUCUGCAGUAUGUAUCUCGUAAUUCCCAUCAAAUUGGUAGAGAUGCCAUCCGCGAUGAGUGGGAGACGGGCGAGCCGCGAGCGUGAAACAGUUCUUCGGAACUUGAUGACCGCACGGAGCCGAUGAAUUUUGGAGCCGUAGUGGCUUGCUCUUCUGAGCGGAUAUAAUUGAACAAG
ensembl:ncRNA T19C4.16 ncRNA